ensembl:lncRNA
AUGGUUUGCAUGCUGCAUUGGUUUUCACUUGAUUCAUAUCCAAUAGCUUUUUUGAGUACUACCUAUGGUGACAGAAUGUUUAUCAUUUUUUUUAAACAAACAUUAAGAUGCUUUGGUGAUUUGUGGGAUGGCAAACCGUGUUGUACUGCAGCUGACAAUCACCAUUAUUUCCUCAUCACUGGCACCUACAGGCACCUGGGUAUCAAGAAGACCCAUGGAUACUUUAGAAAGAAAUUCUAUGCAGCUGGAGGAGCUAAGAAAAGAAAUCCUGCAAGGCAUCAGCAUGAAAUGCUGCACAGACAGCAACAGCAGGAAGGUAAAGCUUUGGAAAGCACACUGCUGGAAGAAUUAGAGGGAACUUCAGCACUCCACAGAGUGAUGGAUAAGCAUUCAAAACAUGGAAAAACCUGAAACAGGGGAGCACUCCUAUCGCUAAUGAAGAUGCAUCAUCACUGGGCUUGGUUCAAAGACCAUUAAAACUUCCGAGUGGUUCCAGUGGGAAUGAGAACAACCCUUUUCCUGGAGAAAUAGAGUCAUAUAUUAAACCUUAAUUGGGAAGAGUCUCCACAAGGAUUUUCCCUCUGAGGGGAAGGAGCUUUUGUGGAUAUAAUUGUUUUGGAGGGAGUAAUUAUUCCAUGGACAUUUCCCAGGGUGAAUGAUGGCUUUUUUGUCUAUUUUCCUGAGAGUAGAAGAGCUGUAGCUGUUUUUAUGGACCAAUGGCAUUACCUAGCAAGCCAGGGACAGGCUGCUGUUUCAACAUAUAUGCACAGCAGUAGGAACAAGUUUUGUACGGUUUAGCUGAAUAUUUCUCUAUUAUUCUUUACCCUGGAGCACGACACAGUUUGCAGCAAUUGAUUGACUUAGCUGGACAGUGAGAUAAAAAAUUACAAAUAAGACCGGCUGGAAGCUGUUCCUCUGUUGCGAUUAGAAGUAAAACAGCCACAGCCAGAGCCGUGUUUUGCCCAGGGUCAGAUCAACAGACCACAGAUUUUUUCUUUUUUAAACAUGUUAAUUUUUGCACAGUUUCAGGAGGGCUGCUGAUCAUCAUCCCAAAAAACCCUUCAUGUCAUGGAGUGUGUGUGUCACUGUGAGCUGCAGAAUAACCACUUCUUCCUCCUGGUCGGGAAGGCAUGGCAGGGUGAUGAUAUGCUGGAGGGAGAGGCUGGCUAAGAUUGGAAAGAAAAAGGGACGUAAAUCUGGGACGGGGCAGAAGGAACAAGGCAAAACAUAACAGAGGGGAAGGUAGAUCCCUGAAAAGAGAGCUGUCAUGGGCGAAUAGCUCAGUGUUCUUGCUGCUGUUUCGAGCAGUGUGAGCAAAAUCCUAAGGGCUGCUCGCCACCUCUUGCUGGGGUGAGCUACCAUUGAGAGAUUGCCUGAAUAGGGAACGAGCCCGGUCUGAUGGUCUUUUAGCAUAAUCCAGCCCUCCUGGAAGAGAUACUGCACAGUGCGGAGGAGGAGAAAGACACUUGAAAUGAGAUAGCUUAAAACCAUUUUGUAACUAAUUUGCAGCAAAGUUUUCUUUCAUCAUUUCCCUCUUUUCCGCCCCAGCCUCCCUGUUUGUCUUAUCAAAUCUUGGCAGAGAUAUCUGCACGGAAUAGGGAGCUGCUGUUGAGAAACUGUGUUUCCAGCGGUAUAAUAAAGCAGUCUUACUGCAAUGAAUUUUAAAGGCU